rnacentral:rRNA from 1 species
CCUACGGGUGGCUGCAGUGGGGAAUUGUUCGCAAUGGGCGCAAGCCUGACGACGCAACGCCGCGUGGGGGAUGAAGGUCUUCGGAUUGUAAACCCCUGUUGGGUGGGACGAACACCGGGAUGGUGAACAGCCAUGUCGACUGACGGUACCACCUGAGGAAGCCCCGGCUAACUCUGUGCCAGCAGCCGCGGUAAUACAGAGGGGGCAAGCGUUGUUCGGAAUUACUGGGCGUAAAGGGCGCGUAGGCGGCCUGUUAAGUCGGACGUGAAAUCCCU